UACGAAGGGGGGCUAGCGUUGCUCGGAAUUACUGGGCGUAAAGCGCACGUAGGCGGCUUUCUAAGUCGGGGGUGAAAUCCUGGAGCUCAACUCCAGAACUGCCUUCGAUACUGGAAAGCUCGAGUCCGGGAGAGGUGAGUGGAACUGCGAGUGUAGAGGUGAAAUUCGUAGAUAUUCGGAGGAACACCAGUGGCGAAGGCGGCCCGCUGGGCAGUGGCUGACGCUGAAGCGCGACAGCGUGGGGAGCAAACAGG
rnacentral:rRNA from 1 species